rnacentral:rRNA from 1 species
GAUGAACGCUGGCGGCGUGCCUAAUACAUGCAAGUCGAGCGAAGCGGGGACGGGUGAGUAACACGUGGAUAACCUCCUAUAAGACUGGGAUAACUUCCGGAAACCGGAGCUAAACCGGAUACUUAUAGAUGGAUCCGCGCUGCAUUAGCUAGUUGGUAAGGGAACGGCGUACCAAGGCAACAAAGCAUAGCCGGCCUGAGCGGGGGUUCGGCGAAACUGGAUCUGAGAGACGGUGCAGACCCCGACGGGAGGCAGUACAAGGGAAUCUUCCGCAAUGGGCGAAAGCCUGACGGAAAAACGCCGCGGGAGUGAGCAAGGGCUUUGGAGCGUAAAGAUCUGUUAUUAGGGACGCGGUACCUAAUCAAAAAGCCACGACUAACUACGUGCCAGCAGCCGCGGUAAUUC